GUGACAAAAGGGCAGAAAGAUCUUUUCCUGAGGGCUGAAUGCCUUGAAUGAAGAUAGGGUAGAAAAAACUCCUGAAGGGUCUUCCAGAGGGACCAGACCUCCGAUGGGACUUUUCUCUGAGGACACCAAAGACCCCCACUCACUGAAUCUAACACCUGUCUGAAAUGAUGUCAAUAAUCAGGGGCACCUCACCUUUUCAAACUGCAAAGCCUUCCUGCCACAGACCUUGCUGUUUCCUGUGAUCCUGCAUGGAAGCCUGGUGUGGGGAGCAGUGCCCUCACCUCCUGACUAUUCAUCUUCAGGAAGCUGAUUCAAUGCCUACAAGAACCCAGAAAUAAGUGUUCCAAUUUUCCAGCUGGUAUUUCUUUAUUCAUAAGGUCUGCAGUUUCUAACUUGACCGUCAACCUCACCACGGGACAGGAGGUAGUGGUGUGGACAGUUUCCAGGCUCUUCCCUCACCAUGAGGGCACAUGUUUCCACAGAGCAGGGACCCAGGAAGACGCCAUGAUUUCCUCCACUGUGUAGCAUGGUUGAAAUACAAAAAGAUAUUUUGCAACAAGUCAAAUGGAGUUGGAAAACUGUAAUUUUCAUCUGCUUUGGAAAUAAGCCAACUAUAAGAGAAGACAUUAAAAAAGACUUGGAUGAUGAUCAAAUUUGAGUCCACCAUAAAGGCAUAUACAUCUGGCAAGAAUUUAAACUUAAUAAAAUUUGA